GGGGUGUUCAGAUAUGCACAACCCUCCCGCAAAGCGACACAAUCCCAGGCAGACCCCCCAUCCCACCCCGUGGCUCUGUUGAACUCGGGGACCCGGCUGUUGCUCGCCGACACAAAGGGGGCACAGACUGCCCAUGUCGACAAGAAGCCCUCCCGAGGCGUCCCAGAAAGGUACGGCUUCUCAUCUGCCUGCCUGAUCCAUCGACCUCUGCUGCCUGAGAUGUACGUCACUCGGGAUUGAUGGCGUCCUCCCCACACUCGGACACAGACCCUCGGCAGGAUUUUGCCAUUGGUGUCGCUGCUAGACCUGCCUUUUGUAUGAAGAUCCUGCUACUCACAAGAUACAGAUUGGCUGGUCCCGAUUUGGAAGGUCUCUGCUCCAUGAACAGACCGGAACGAAAUGAAACAGGCUCAAAGUUCAGCAGGAGCUGAGACGGAGCCUUUGCCAGUUCCCCGGAGGGGUACCGACCAGGUCUUCCGCCUUCACUGAGCAAGUCUGGAGAGAAGCAACGGAGAUUUGCAUCUUCCAGUGAUCUUGUGAGUUAGUGGCAUGAAGACGUUCUUCAGAUGUCCCUGGCGUCUGCAAUCGCCUUGCUCGUUGCUCUGCCAAACCAGAAGACACCUUGUCUCUCCAAUAACCUCACACUAUGAAGCUAUCAACCGGUGCGAACAAGAAGUGCCCAAGUACUUCAAUUUUGCAAGUGAUGUUUUGGACAAGUGGUCACAAAUGGAAAAGGAAGGGAAGAGGCCGGGCAACGCAGCCUUCUGGUGGGUGAACGGCCAGAGCGACGAGGUGAAGUGGAGCUUUGAGGAGCUGGGCUUCUUCUCCAGGAAAGCUGCCAAUGUGCUCUCCGGUCCGUGCGGCUUGGAAAGAGGAGACAGAAUCAUCACCAUCCUGCCCCGGAUUCCGGAGUGGUGGUUGCUGAAUGUGGCUUGCAUGCGGACAGGCAUUGUUUUUAUUCCUGGAACCUCCCAGUUAACAGCUAAAGACAUUUCCUACCGACUGCACGCUUCCCAAGCGAAAUGUAUUGUCACCUGCGAUGCCUUGGCCUCCAAGGUGGACUCUGUGGUGUCCGGAUGCACGUCUCUGAAGAGCAAGCUCCUCGUGUCUGAGGGCAGCAGGGAUGGCUGGCUGAACUUCAAGGACCUUUUCCAAGCAGCACCAGCUGACCAUGACUGUGUUAAGACAAAGAGCGGAGAACCAAUGUUCAUCUACUUUACGAGUGGAAGCACCGGGCCUCCCAAAAUGGCCGAGCACUCGCACUGCAGCUAUGGCAUUGGAUUCGCAGCCAGUGGCAGGCACUGGAUGAAUCUGACUCCUUUGGAUGUAUUCUGGAAUACAUCAGACACUGGAUGGGUCAAGUCAGCUUGGAGCAGUGUCUUUGCUCCAUGGAUUAAUGGAUCAUGCGUCUUUGUGCAUCAUAUGCCACAAUUUGAGCCCACAGUCAUAUCCGAUACUCUUGCAAGAUACCCCAUCACUACUUUCUGCACAGCUCCCACGGCAUAUCGUAUGUUGGUCCAGCACAAUCUCACCAGCUGCAGAUUCAGGAGCCUGCAGCACUGUGUGACUGGCGGGGAACCCCUCAACCCAGAAGUGAUGGAGCAGUGGAAGAUUCAAACGGGGCUGGAUAUCUAUGAAGCAUACGGACAGACUGAAACGGUAACCAUUUGUGCUAAUGUAAAAGGAAUGAAGAUUAAACCGGGCUCAAUGGGAAAGGCAUCACCACCAUAUGAUGUCCAGAUUGUAGAUGACCAGGGAAAUAUUUGCCCUCCAGGAGAAGAAGGAGACAUUGCUAUUAGAAUCAAACCAAAGCGGCCGUUUUGUAUGUUCUCACAGUACUUGGAUAAUCCUGAGAAAACUGCCGCCACUGAGCGAGGAAGCUUUUAUAUCACUGGAGACCGAGCGAUCAUGGAUGCAGAAGGCUACUUUUGGUUUGUCGGGAGGCUGGAUGAUGUCAUUAAUUCGGCUGGGUAGGUUCCUUUCAGCGGAACGGGCUGCUCCCAAAGGGGUCCUUUUUCAAAAGCUCCAUAUCACCCAUCCUCUCCUAGGUACCGCAUUGGCCCAUUUGAGGUGGAAAGCGCCUUGAUAGAACAUCCAGCUGUGUCUGAAUCCGCUGUGGUCAGCAGCCCCGAUCCUGUCCGCGGAGAAGUGGUGAAAGCUUUCGUUGUCCUCUCUCCUGACUUUUUAUCACACAAU